rnacentral:rRNA from 1 species
UCCGGAGGGUGCAAGCGUUAAUCGGAAUUACUGGGCGUAAAGCGCACGCAGGCGGUCUGUCAAGUCGGAUGUGAAAUCCCCGGGCUCAACCUGGGAACUGCAUUCGAAACUGGCAGGCUAGAGUCUUGUAGAGGGGGGUAGAAUUCCAGGUGUAGCGGUGAAAUGCGUAGAGAUCUGGAGGAAUACCGGUGGCGAAGGCGGCCCCCUGGACAAAGACUGACGCUCAGGUGCGAAAGCGUGGGGAGCAAACAGG